rnacentral:tRNA from 4 species
GGGUCGGUAGCUCAACUGGUUAGAGUAGCGGCCUUUUAAGCCGCGGGUUCUGGGUUCGAGUCCCAGCCGACCUACCA